ensembl:snRNA U6 spliceosomal RNA
GUGCUGGCUUUGGCAGCACAUAUACUAAAACCAGGACGAUACAGAGAAGAUUAGCAUGGCCCCUCUGUAAGGAUGACACGCAAAUUCAUGAAGUGUUCCAUAUUUUU